AUAGGAUAAAAUAUAAGUUUGAACUUUUGGAGACUGCUCGCAUUCUAAUUGGAUUGCUGAUACAAAUAUUUACAAUUGGAACAACAAUUUCUCUUAUCAGGAACAUGUCUCCUCCCAAAAGGGCCUCUUAACCGUUUCUUACCUAGAACAAACUCUCCAUGUCAACGGCUAAAAUAA